rnacentral:rRNA from 1 species
GCUUGCUCCCUGAUAUCAGCGGCGGACGGGUGAGUAACACGUGGGUAACCUGCCUGUAAGACUGGGAUAACUCCGGGAAACCGGGGCUAAUACCGGAUAACUCAUUUCCUCGCAUGAGGAAAUGUUGAAAGGUGGCUUCGGCUACCACUUACAGAUGGACCCGCGGCGCAAUAGCUAGUUGGUGAGGUAACGGCUCACCAAGGCAACGAUGCGUAGCCCACCUGAGAGGGUGAUCGGCCACACUGGGACUGAGACACGGCCCAGACUCCUACGGGAGGCAGCAGUAGGGAAUCUUCCGCAAUGGACGAAAGUCUGACGGAGCAACGCCCCGUGAGUGAUGAAGGUUUUCGGAUCGUAAAGCUCUGUUGUUAGGGAAGAACAAGUGCCGUUCAAAUAGGGCGGCACCUUGACGGUACCUAACCAGAAAGCCACGGCUAACUACGUGCCAGCAGCCGCGGUAAUACGUAAGUGGCAAGCGUUGUCCGGAAUUAUUGGGCGUAAAGCGCGCGCAGGUGGUUCCUUAAGUCUGAUGUGAAAGCCCACGGCUCAACCGUGGAGGGUCAUUGGAAACUGGGGAACUUGAGUGCAGAAGAAGAAAGUGGAAUUCCAAGUGUAGCGGUGAAAUGCGUAGAUAUUUGGAGGAACACCAGUGGCGAAGGCGACUUUCUGGUCUGUAACUGACACUGAGGCGCGAAAGCGUGGGGGAGCAAACAGGAUUAGAUACCCUGGGUAGUCCACGCCGUAAACGAUGAGUGCUAAGUGUUUGGGGGGUUUCCGCCCCCUUAAUGCUGCAGCUAACGCAUUAAG